rnacentral:lncRNA from 1 species
UUUUUUUUUUUUUUUUUUGCUUUUUUAGGGCCACACCCACAGCAUAUGGAGGUUCCCAGUCUAGGGGUUGAAUUGGAGCUACAGCUGCCAACCUACGCCACAGCCACAGCAACGGGGGAUCCGAAACGCAUCUGCAACCUACACCACAGCUCAUGGCAAUGCCAGAUCAAGGACCUAAUGAGCAAAGCCAGGGAUCAAACCCGAAUCCUCAUGGAUACUAGUCGGAUUCGUUUCUGCUGCGCCACAACAGGAACUCCUGUACAGUAGUAACUGACAGAACACUGUAAAUCAGCUACAAAGGAAAAAAAUAAAAAUCAUUAAGAAACAAAAAAAGGGUGUGUUUGUGGAAAAUCCCUAUUGCAGUGAAAUGACUCCACUGGAAGCCUUACUGGACUAUGUCAGAAAAGUGAACAUUAGGUGAGGGAGCUGAGAAACAAGUGAAAAAGACUCUUUAAAAAAAUCCAUCUGAUAUACGCACCCCUAUGUUCAUAGCAGCCAAGACAUGGGAACAACCUAAAUGUCCAUCGGCAGACGAAUGCAUUAAGAUGUGAUACACGUAUAGAAAGGAAUACUACUGAGCCAUGGAAAAGAACAAAAUAAUGCCAUUUGCAGCAACAGGUAUGGAACUAGAGAUUUUCAAACUAAGUGAAGUCAGAAAGAGAAAGACAAAUACCAUAUGAUAUCACUUCCACGGGGAAUCGAAAAUAUGGCACAGAUGAACCUGUCUACAGAACAGAAACAGACUCGCAGACACGGAGAACAGACUGGUGGUUGCCAAGGGGGAGGGGGGAGGGAGUGGGAUGGCUGGGAGUUUGGGGUUAAUAGAUGCAAACUAAUACGUUUAGAAUGGAUAAGCAGCAACGAGGUCUUACUGUACAGCACAGGGAACUCGAUCCAAUCUCCUGAGAAAGACCAUGUUGGAACAGAAUAUAAAAAAAAGAGCAUAUAUAACUAGCUCACUUUGCUGUAUAGCAGAAAUUGUCACAACAGGGUAAAUCAACUACACUUUAAUUUUUAAAAAACGUUUAAAAAAAAAGGAAAUUCAUCUGAGAGUAAGGAACAGGUCAAAAGUGGGAAAAGUAUGGGAAAGAAACUUGUCAGUUCAUCCUUAUGUUUUAAAAUGGGAAAGAUCUGAAGGUGUUUAUGGAUGCGGAGAAGCAGCCAGUUGAAGAAUCUGCCUCUACGGGGGAGAUUUCCAUCGCUUCCUUAAGAUGGCAGCUUACUCCUCUCUCCCAAGACAAACACAAGCGGGCCUACGCUGAGUUCUUGACAAGGAUCUCAGGUAUUAUGUAAAUUUUCAUAGGGACAUGGCUCAGAUCUCAACUUUGGCUGUGAAUUCCUGGAAGGGGGAAACUCCUGUCCGUUUGCUUUUUUUUUUUUUUUUUAAGUUGGCCUUGAUUUUUCAUUCUGUUCAGUAGAAGAGAGUAACAAAGGCAUCUUUCCUGGGUGGUUUAAAACUCUGGAGAACAGCUUCUCAAACUAAUGUGCAUACCUAACACCUGGAGACUUUGCUAAAUGCAGAUUCUGCUUUAGCAGGUCUGGGGCAGGGCCUGAGAGUCUGCAUUCCAAGGAAGCUCCCAGAUGAAGCCUUGGAAACCAAGGCGUAAACUUCCUGGUUUUGAAUGGCCAACAGAACAGGUCCCUCAGUAAGGGCUGGUGCAUUAGCAAAAAGUAAUGACUUCAAGCUGCCAAGGGGUCUGCUCUUAAAACACUUGCUACCGUGAGAUCUUCAGAAACACCCUCAACCUGACUUUAACCUUGAGCCACACCCACUCAGCCCCAAUGGCCCAGGUUCCAGUCAGGGCAGCAGUGGUUGAGGGCACAGAUGAGUAGACACCCUGGGUUCAAAUCAUGGUUCUACCGAUCAUUAGCUGUGUGAUGCUGAGCAUGUUGCUUGACUUCUCUGUGCCUCAGUUUCUUCGUAUGUAAUAGUAUCUCCUCCUUGGUACUGGUUUGCUUGUUAGCUUGUUUGGUUUUGGCCACUCCCAUAGAAUGUGGAAGUUCCCUGGGCCAGGAAUCAAACCCACGCUACUGCCACAGCAGCAACCCAAGCCACUACAGUGACAACACUAGCUACUUAACCCACUACACCACAAGGGAACUCCUCCACAAUACUGUUUUAGGAAAACUAACUUUGAACACUCUUAGAAGCAUGCCUGACAUAUAGUAUGCACUCUAAAAGUACUGCUUAUUAUUACUCAGGGCGGGAAAGUGGCAACUGGACAGGAAGGAGACAAGGCAGAGAGUUCAAGUGCCCCAUAAAAGUCCCCAUAAGUCCUUCUGCAGAGCUUUCUCUAGGAACUGUCUUGGCCAAAGCUAACAACACAAUGCUUCUGUAAGAUGAAUCACUAGCCACCCGCAACUAACCCCCCCACCCCCCCACCUAACCCCCCCAAAUCCCUCAGUUUCUGUCACUUUGUCAAAGGGUUAUUUUAUGCACUUUCAAGACUUUCAAAAACAUCUGGAACCUGCACAAAAGAAGACAUAUGAAACUUUAGGGGAGCAAUAAGCAGAAAUUCUAAGCUGCUGCUCCAGGGUUUUCCUUGCAGCUCACUGGAGUUUCUGUCAAAACACUCCACGUAUAUUUUAGAAUUCCUGAGGCAUGCAAGAGUCAUGCGCCUUUGAGAACAUUCCAGAUAAACACUAAAAACAUCCAUACAUUUAUAUGUAAAUAUUUAAAUAUAUAUCUUCAUCUCACUUUAACAGAAUAAGUCUUGUGACUGAUAAUCUGCAAUACUGCAGCAGAAAGGCAAUCACUACAAAACGCUGCUAAAUUUGGUCACUUGGUUGACCAGUGUACGAAUGGUAAACAAAAGUUGAUAACAUUUUGGUCCAUUUCCUUCCUGUCUUUAUUCUGUGUAUUUUUAAUAUGUGAAAUAAACCUUCUGGAACUGGAGAGAAGCAAGCCCGGUCUUCAGUGGAAUGCACACAGCCACUGGCAGCUAAGCCCUUCCCAUCACCACACUCUGAGAUCACAGCUCUGGCAGCUCCCUGGCUUCCGAUUCAAUAACUGCAAAUAGCGUUGGCACCAACUCUGUCACAGCACACGGGGGCGGGGGGGGGGGGGGGAGUGACCAGAGCUGGGCAGCGACUGAGGUCAAUGACCCUUUAGUCUCUCUGGAUGCGAGGGGGGAGGGGGGUCUCUUUCAUGACUCUUGCAUCACACCACAUCCUAAUCCCUUAGUGAAAAGAACAGAUCUGCCAGGAUUGCAGCUAAACAACUAACCCUAUUUCUUUUUCAUUCACUUAAAGGCACACGGAGUGAAUGGUCAAUGGAGCCUUCUGAUCACACCCAGGUGAAAAAGUUCUGGCCAAAUUUGUUGGCAUAAAUAAAAUACUUGAUGCCUGCCUUAAUUUGCAGGGAUGCACUGAAGUGCCCCCGCCCCCCCCCAGCCCCCAUCACCGUGGGUUCAGGUUACAGGCUUCCUGAAAUCCUGCAACUAGCUCACAGUACAAAGAAAGGAACAAGCCUUGUGAAAACAUACAGAUGUUACAGGGAGCAGAGGAAAAUUAUUUUAAAUCGAGAAUUUUACUAUCCCCAGAGAGGGUAUCAUGUCCUAAAAUAUAGGGAGAGAAAUUACGGGAAAAGGCGAAACAGCUCUCAGAAAUUAUCAAUAUGGAUAACAGACAUUUUGUUUCUAUAGUUAGCUGAAAGGUUAAUUUGAGGAAAUUCCAUAGAAAGUAUAACAAAAAAUAGAUACAUGGAAGUUUUAAAAGAUAAUCAGGGAAACUUCUAAAAGGCCUAAUCCUCAAAUAGUAGGAAUUACAGAGAGAGAGAAUUAAGAGAAAUUAUUUUUUUUUUAAUUCAAGAAAUGUCCCAGACUGACAGACAAGGGUCUCCAGACUAAAAAGAAAAAACAAAUGCCCAGCAUAAAUAAUUUCAAUAGAACCCACUGAGAGGAGUUCCCGUCGGGGCGCAGUGGUUAAUGAACCCGACUAGGAACCAUGAGGUGGCGGGCUCAAUCCCUGGCCUUGCUCAGUGGGUUAAGGAUCCAGCAUUGCCGUGAGCUGUGGUGUAAGUUGCAGGUGCGCCUUGGAUCCCACAUUGCUGUGGCUCUGGUGCCGGCCGGUGGCUACAGCUC